rnacentral:rRNA from 1 species
UACAGAGGGGGCAAGCGUUAUUCGGAAUUAUUGGGCGUAAAGGGCGCGUAGGCGGCUUUGCAAGUGACGGGUGAAAUCCCUCGGCUUAACCGAGGAACUGCCUGUCAAACUGCAUGGCUUGAGACCGGGAGAGGUGAAUGGAAUUCCCAGUGUAGCGGUGAAAUGCGUAGAUAUUGGGAGGAACACCAGUGGCGAAGGCGGCUCACUGGACCGGUACUGACGCUGAUGCGCGAAAGCGUGGGGAGCAAACAGG